UUUCAACAAUCGGCUAGUCACAAUGAGAUGCUAAGAGUUCACACAUGACUUAUGCAACUCCAAUUUGCCUCAUUAGAAUUGCACAAACAUAUCGUUCAAUCAAGAGCACUAUUCAAGUCAUCGAUAUUGAUCGCAACUGAUACUCAAAUAUGCAAGAGAACAACCACACAUUCACAAACAUUAAAAUCAGGAGACAAACUUUAAAUUUGGAUCAAAACCAACAUUCACAAUCAACAAAAUACCCCAACUUCAAAUAUGUAGUGCCCUCAAUGCAAAUAUAACUAAUGCAACUAGCAAAACGGGAGAGUAAUGAUCACUAAAUGAAA
rnacentral:lncRNA from 1 species